CAAUCAAAUAGUUUAUUUAGAAUAUUAGCUUUGGGGGUUGAAGGUCUUUAUUGGGAAGUUGAUUGA
rnacentral:tRNA from 2 species